rnacentral:rRNA from 1 species
UUCAGACGAUGCGUCAUGCAUAUCAAUAAGCGGAGGAAAAGAAACUAACAAGGAUUCCCUUAGUAACGGCGAGUGAAGCGGGAAGAGCUCAAAUUUGAAAUCUUAAAGGGUUUCCCUUUACGAAUUGUAGUUUAAAGAAGUGUUUUCUGUUAGAGUUUCGGUAAAAGUACUUUGGAAUAGGACAUCAUAGAGGGUGAGAAUCCCGUAUUUGACCGUUAUUUCUAGCUUUGUGAUACACUUUCAAAGAGUCGGAUUGUUUGGGAAUGCAGUCCAAAAUGGGUGGUAAAUUUCAUCUAAAGCUAAAUAUUGGCGAGAGACCGAUAGCGAACAAGUACCGUGAGGGAAAGAUGAAAAGAACUUUGAAAAGAGAGUUAAACAGUACGUGAAAUUGUCAAAAGGGAAGCGUUUGACACCAGUGUUGUUUUCUCGAAAAUCAAUUAAAAAAGGCUAGGAUUUUGUGUUGUAUUGACUUUAUCAGCUUUCUGCACUCUUUUCUUGUCUUUUUUAAUGCACUUUUCGUUUAACAAGUCAACAUCAAUUUCUUUUGUUGUAAAAGGGUCAUUGGAAGGUGGCUUUCUUUUCGGAGAAAGUGUUUAUAGCCUUUGGCCUCUGCAAUCGGAGAGAUUGAGGUCUGCAGCGUAGAUCCUUCGGGGUUAGAUACAUUUGUGCUAAGUUAUAGCCUUUCAUAGACAACUUGUUGACUAUGAUCAGUCAUGUAGCUUACUCGCUUAUGCUAUUUUACCUACGCUUAGGAUGUUGAUCUACAGAGCGAGAGU